rnacentral:rRNA from 1 species
ACGGAGGGUGCAAGCGUUGUUCGGAAUUACUGGGCGUAAAGGGCGCGUAGGCGGUUUGAUAAGUCAGAUGUGAAAGCCCACGGCUUAACUUUGGAAGUGCAUUUGAAACUGUCAGUCUUGAGUAUCAGAGGGGGAGGUGGAAUUCCCGGUGUAGCGGUGAAAUGCGUAGAGAUCGGGAGGAAUACCGGUGGCGAAGGCGCCCCCCUGGCCGAAUACUGACGCUGAGGUGCGAAAGCGUGGGGAGCAAACAG